rnacentral:rRNA from 1 species
GACGAACGCUGGCGGCGUGCUUAACACAUGCAAGUCGAACGGAAAGGCCCUGCUUUUGUGGGGUGCUCGAGUGGCGAACGGGUGAGUAACACAUGAGUAACCUGCCCUUGACUUUGGGAUAACUUCAGGAAACUGGGGCUAAUACCGGCUAGGAGCUCCUGCUGCAUGGUGGGGGUUGGAAAGUUUCGGCGGUUGGGGAUGGACUCGCGGCUUAUCAGCUUGUUGGUGGGGUAGUGGCUUACCAAGGCUUUGACGGGUAGCCGGCCUGAGAGGGUGACCGGCCACAUUGGGACUGAGAUACGGCCCAGACUCCUACGGGAGGCAGCAGUGGGGAAUAUUGCACAAUGGGCGGAAGCCUGAUGCAGCAACGCCGCGUGCGGGAUGACGGCCUUCGGGUUGUAAACCGCUUUCGCCUGUGACGAAGCGUGAGUGACGGUAAUGGGUAAAGAAGCACCGGCUAACUACGUG